AUUCGAGAUUCAACGACGUUUGCCCUCUUCCUAGUGACCUGAGACGAAACUUGAGCUCUUAAGGCUGGAGGUCUCUUCGUGAGUUUGCGGUGGGUAUGAAAUUUCAGGGGAAGAGAAUUAUACAACAUGGCAUGCUGGGUAGGUGAGAGGAGGACGUGGCCUUGCUGAAAUCUUUCAGUACACGAGGCAUAAUAGGUAACAAUGUGAUUUUGACAUGGAAAGCUUUUGAGAAUUGAAGGGGAUGAUGACUUUAGUUUGACUUCAAUGGGCUUGGUGCUGACUAAGUGACUAGCUAGUUUGUUGGCAUAGUUUGCUGUAUAGGCUGCUACUAUUUAGUAUAUGUAACUUGCUGUCCAGAAAUGUUUUAUGCAAUGUUGCAAUUGAAUGUUUGUUAAUUUGGUGUUGUAACAUGACAGUUGAUUGUUUCAAUGGAAUGCCUUUGAUUUGGUGUUUA